GAAGCCUGGGGGGGGGGUACAAUAUCCAUAACUAACAUUAAGAUUCCAAAUCCAUGAUUCUGGUGAGCUUUUGUGGAAACUAAUUGUAUUAAUGACUGUAGACAGACGGUAUAAACAUGGACGUAGACUCGGGGGCCCCAGGGGGCUGUGAGGAGUCAAAAUGGGCCCCCAGUUCAAUGCGUUGGGGCUCAGAAGGGACGGUCGCUCGCUUGGUUGUCAUGGUGAAGUCAUAACGGACGUGUUAACUGGGAUGCCCUUCUUUUAACACUGGUGCUACUCCUAGACUAGAAGCUAAGCUAACAAGCUGGUGCUACUCCUAGACUAGAAGCUAAGCUAACAAGCUAAUGCUACUCCUAGACUAGAAACUAAACUAACAAGCUAGUGCUACUCCUAGACUAGAAGCUAAGCUAGCAAGCUGGUGCUACUCCUAGACUAGAAACUAAACUAACAAGCUAGUGCUACUCCUAGACUAGAAGCUAAGCUAGCAAGCUGGUGCUACUCCUAGACUAGAAGCUAAGCUAACAAGCUGGUGCUACUCCUAGACUAGAAGCUAAGCUAGCAAGCUAAUGCUACUCCUAGACUAGAAACUAAACUAACAAGCUAGUGCUACUCCUAGACUAGAAGCUAAGCUAGCAAGCUGGUGCUACUCCUAGACUAGAAGCUAAGCUAGCAAGCUAGUGCUACUCCUAGACUAGAAGCUAAGCUAGCAAGCUGGUGCUACUCCUAGACUAGAAGCUAAGCUAGCAAGCUGGUGCUACUCCUAGACUAGAAGCUAAGCUAACAAGCUGGUGCUACUCCUAGACUAGAAACUAAACUAACAAGCUAGUGCUACUCCUAGACUAGAAGCUAAGCUAGCAAGCUGGUGCUACUCCUAGACUAGAAGCUAAGCUAGCAAGCUAGUGCUACUCCUAGACUAGAAACUAAACUAACACGCUUGUGCUACUCCUAGACUAGAAGCUAAGCUAACGAGCUGGUGCUACUCCUAGACUAGAAGCUAAGCUAACAAGCUGGUGCUACUCCUAGACUAGAAGCUAAGCUAACAAGCUAGUGCUACUCCUAGACUAGAAGCUAAGCUAACAAGCUGGUGCUACUCCUAGACUAGAAGCUAAGCUAACAAGCUGGUGCUACUCCUAGACUAGGAUUACUGCUGUAAUCUAUGGUAGGUACCACGAGUCCAUGUGGGAAUGCUGGAAGAUACCAGAGGGAUUCGUUUGACUUUCAGCACGCGGAGCCAACUCACCACAAGGGAGGGACCACGCCAGCGCCAUCAAAAGGUCGCCCAGGUAGUUUGGGUGGCGGACCACACCCCACCAGCCGGACACCAGCAGACUCUUUCCUGUGGCAGUGGGGAUGCUCUGCAGAUCUGCGACAACAGAGAGACAAACAAAGGUUACCACGGUGACACUUGUUGGAAAAGGAUGUGUCAACUAACUCCAGGGAGCUCACACAUCAGGAAAAAGCUGCCUCAAUUAUUUUCUAUUGGAGGUCUACAAAGAAAUGUUGACCACACACACACACACACACACACACCAUUGAUUCCACAACAGAACUUACGAGACAGUUUGGGGUCUGAUGGGUUUCUCCUGAAGGCGUUCUUCUCAGAGUUGGACUUCCUGAAGAUGUAGAAUCCAACAACUGAAGGACAGAAAGAAAACUUCAAACAUCCAGCUGAGCUACACAAGGAGGGGAAAACCAAUCUCAACUUGACUUCUUUGGGAACAAAUCAACCUCAAGAGUUCUCAUGAGUAGCUGCACGGGACCUCAAGAUAAAGUAACACGGUCAACAUCUGGAUUAACAGGACGGCUCAUGACUCGUGAGUCUGAUGCUGUGCUCCUUACGCUUCAGUGCGAUUAUGGCUGCGGCGGCGGGGGGGCUCAGGGGGACGGGGUGGCGGACCAGGUAGUAGGCCUGCAGGGUGUAAGUGAAGGGAACCCACACCAGAUCACCAAAAGCCAGCAUGAAGCCAAAACCAUCGUGCAUCAAGUCCAUGGUGGUCAGUAUGGCCUCCUGGGGACAGAGAGGACAUUCGUGAGACAAUAUAACGUAAACAUCUGUUACAGCACGUUUUGACCGCGCUCAGCGUACCUCGUUCCAGAGGCCGUCCACCACGUAGAGCAGCUGGAAGAGGUUCACCAGGAGCAUGGAGUAGGAGGGAGCAUCCAGACCCUGCUGCUUCAUCUCAGCCAACGCCAU